UUGAAAGGGAAACGAUUGAAGUCAGUCGUGCCAGCGAGAAAUCAGCUCACAGGCUACUGUGGGUGCACUUUUUCGCAAGGCAGGUUAACAUCAAUUUUGGUGAUCAUAAAAUGACUGGAGGAAUGUAGCUUCGAUCUUGUAUUGAAGUGUUAUAGCCUUCGGUAGAUGUGAUGAUCGAGAUUGAGGAUUGCAACGGAAUCCUUCGGGGCUACCUGUCUGGUCUCUGAUCGUUGCUCUGGUGCCGAAAGCUUGCUUACGGUUAUCAAAGUCGAUGGUCAAUAGGUUAGAACGGGUUAAAUUCGUUAAGGAUGUUGACGUA
rnacentral:rRNA from 1 species